UACGUAGGUGGCAAGCGUUGUCCGGAUUUACUGGGCGUAAAGAGCGCGCAGGCGGUCGGAUAAGUCGAAUGUGAAAGCCCCCCGGCUCAACUGGGGAGGGUCAUUCGAUACUGUUCGACUCGAAGGCAGGAGAGGGAAGUGGAAUUCCCGGUGUAGUGGUGAAAUGCGUAGAUAUCGGGAGGAACACCAGUGGCGAAGGCGACUUCCUGGCCUGUUCUUGACGCUGAGGCGCGAAAGCUAGGGGAGCAAACGGGG
rnacentral:rRNA from 1 species